AUAGUAACCUGAGGUUACCAGGGAACAGAAUGACAUAGGCCGUGGUUCAAGAGAUCAUUGAUUCCUGUCAUGAUUAACAAGUGUUUAAUAUUAAUGAUAAAGUUUGAAGAAAUUUGUGUCAUACAUUAUAAGCAUAUCUUUACCCAGUUGUUUAUGGAUUAUGGUAGUAUUAUAGUUAUGCCAAAUGCUUAAACUCCCUGCAACAGGUGACUAAUGUGUAAGCAUACAGAGCUGCUUUGGAGGGACUAAAUUAGUGUAUUGCAUGACCUGAUAUCUUCACUGUGUUACUUAAAAAGAAUGAAGCAAAUGCACUGUCAUUUUUGUUUGGCGGGUAAUUCAUGAUCUAUGUUCUGAUUUGGACUGUAUAUCUUGUGAACUUACAUAUCUGGGGAAAUCCAAGACUCCUUGUCACAGGUAGGGAGCAGGGUGGCACAGUGGUCUGAGGCACUGCAUCACUCUGUGUAGAGUUACAUCCCUAAUCUGCAUCAGGAUCUGCAUGGGUUUCUAUCCAAAUUUAUGAUUCCUAGGCCCCAUUCCUCAAAGCGAGCGUAUUGCUAAGACGAUCGUAACCCCCAUACUUUAACAUAGUGUUAUGAUUGGCAUAGCGCUACGAUCGCUUUGAGGAACGGGCCCUGGUCUGUUAGCAUCGUUCCAGUGCCGACUAUAUGUUAAACAUCUGUGAUCUUCAUUAGUUUGGGCCUCCAUUAGGAUGAUGUAUAGUUAUAGGGUGAAACCUGAUGCAGCUCACCACUGCCUUGUUAGGAAUACUGAUGACAAGAGGAAACAAAAUGGAUGGGGUGGUCAGGCUACAUCACCUAGGUGAUUGUGUGUCAUCCUUACAUCCAUGGCUAACGAUAUGAGUCACUGGAUUGUUUGGUGAAUUGUUCAAUAUCUGUAAAAGGAGUGAGUGUGGUAUAAAACAACAAGCACAAGCAGCAUGUUCAGUAAUCAGCUGUAUUGCAGGUGUCAGUAAUCAGCCCUAUUGCAGGUGUCAGUAAUCAGCUGUAUUGCAGGUGUCAGUAAUCAGCCCUAUUGCAGGUGUCAGUAAUCAGCCCUAUUGCAGGUGUCAGUAAUCAGCUGUAUUGCAGGUGUCAGUAAUCAGCCCUAUUGCAGGUGUCAGUAAUCAGCCCUAUUGCAGGUGUCAGUAAUCAGCUGUAUUGCAGGUGUCGGUAAUCAGCUGUAUUGCAGGUGUCAGUAAUCAGCCCUAUUGCAGGUGUCAGUAAUCAGCUGUAUUGCAGGUGUCGGUAAUCAGCUGUAUUGCAGGUGUCAGUAAUCAGCCCUAUUGCAGGUGUCAGUAAUCAGCCCUAUUGCAGGUGUCGGUAAUCAGCUGUAUUGCAGGUGUCGGUAAUCAGCCCUAUUGCAGGUGUCAGUAAUCAGCCCUAUUGCAGGUGUCAGUAAUCAGCCCUGUUGCAGGUGUCAGUAAUCAGCUGUAUUGCAGGUGUCAGUAAUCAGCUGUAUUGCAGGUGUCAGUAAUCAGCCCUAUUGCAGGUGUCAGUAAUCAGCCCUG